AGAGAAAACAAAUUGGCACAAUUUGAAGUUGAUGAUCUCAGCUGUGUGAAGGAGUUGAAUUGCACUCACAGCUGAAGCACCGAGAGCCUUCAACUGUUCAGCGAGGCUUGCAAUACCGCCUCUUCACCGUUCAAGGAUACUGUGGAAACUGGAACAAUGGAACCAACCAUGCAGAACAGGGAACACCACAGAACUGAGCUGGUACACUCCCUUUUACAGCCAGUGUAGGGGGCAGGGAAAGGGAAGGAAAUCACAGACACGGAAAAGAGUAUUUACAUAAGCAGCGGAGAAACAAGAAUGGAAUUAACUGAAUAGCUCUUUCAAAGAGACAGCAGCACGACAGUCGGUCAAAUGGCC